rnacentral:rRNA from 1 species
CCUACGGGAGGCAGCAGUGAGGAAUAUUGGUCAAUGGACGAGAGUCUGAACCAGCCAAGUAGCGUGAAGGAUGACUGCCCUAUGGGUUGUAAACUUCUUUUAUAUGGGAAUAAAAUGUUCCACGUGUGGGAUUUUGUAUGUACCAUAUGAAUAAGGAUCGGCUAACUCCGUGCCAGCAGCCGCGGUAAUACGGAGGAUCCGAGCGUUAUCCGGAUUUAUUGGGUUUAAAGGGAGCGUAGGUGGAUUGUGGCGUCAGUUGUGAAAGUUUGCGGCUCAACCGUAAAAUUGCAGUUGAAACUGGCAGUCUUGAGUACAGUAGAGGUGGGCGGAAUGCGUGGUGUAGCGGUGAAAUGCUUAGAUAUCACGAAGAACUCCGAUUGCGAAGGCAGUUCACUGGACUGCAACUGACACUGAGGCUCGAAAGUGUGGGUAUCAAACAGGAUUAGAUACCCUUGUAGUC